GACGAACGCUGGCGGCGUGCUUAACACAUGCAAGUCGAAGCGGUAAGGCCCUUUACGGGGGUACACGAGCGGCGAACGGGUGAGUAACACGUGGGUGACCUGCCCUUAGCUCUGGGAUAAGCCUGGGAAACUGGGUCUAAUACCGGAUAUGACUCCAUGACGCAUGUUGUGGGGUGGAAAAGUCCUUGUGCGGCUAGGGAUGGGCCCGCGGCCUAUCAGC
rnacentral:rRNA from 1 species